rnacentral:piRNA from 1 species
CUUUCUAAACAUCGUGCAUCCUU